AUACGGAGGGUGCAAGCGUUACUCGGAAUCACUGGGCGUAAAGCGCGCGCAGGCGGCUAUUUAAGUUGGAUGUGAAAGCCUACGGCCCAACCGUAGAACUGCAUCCAAAACUAUUUAGCUAGAGUGUGGGAGAGGAAGAUGGAAUUAGUUGUGUAGGGGUAAAAUCCGUAGAGAUAACUAGGAAUACCAAAAGCGAAGGCAAUCUUCUGGAACACUACUGACGCUGAGGCGCGAAAGCGUGGGGAGCAAACGGGAUUAGAAACCCUAGUAGUCC
rnacentral:rRNA from 1 species